AACGAACGCUGGCGGCAUGCCUAACACAUGCAAGUCGAACGAGACCUUCGGGUCUAGUGGCGCACGGGUGCGUAACGCGUGGGAACCUGCCCUUAGGCUCGGAAUAACUCCCCGCAAGGGGUGCUAAUACCGGAUAAUGUCUUCGGACCAAAGAUUUAUCGCCUUUGGAUGGGCCCGCGUUGGAUUAGCUAGUUGGUAGGGUAAAAGCCUACCAAGGCGACGAUCCAUAGCUGGUCUGAGAGGAUGAUCAGCCACACUGGGACUGAGACACGGCCCAGACUCCUACGGGAGGCAGCAGUGGGGAAUAUUGGACAAUGAGCGAGAGCCUGAUCCAGCAAUGCCGCGUGAGUGAUGAAGGCCUUAGGGUUGUAAAGCUCUUUUAACCGGGAUGAUAAUGACAGUACCGUGAGAAUAAGCUCCGGCUAACUCCGUG
rnacentral:rRNA from 1 species